AAAGAAAACAAGGAAAAAUAAUGAAUGGAAGCCUUCGACUGGUUCCUCAAGCAAAGGAAAUAGUACUAACAAAUCAAAUAAUGAAUGGAAGCCUUCCCUGAAACUAGGCAUUUUUCCAGGUCCAUUGCGAUCUCCAACUUUUGUUUUGGAGCACUCUGGGCAGCUGUUUUUCCAAUAUAAUUUAGGUAGUUUAUCCUGAUUUCUGUUUUCUUCUCUUGAUCUGAAGUCUUUCAUUUUCAUUCAUUUGUUGAGUUUACUUAACCUUCCCUCUUCUGUUUUUUGGUCUUGCAAUUAUAGAUGGCAAACAGCUGCUCAUGCUGCAGACAAUUUAAUAACAUCCUUGUUGCCUGAUAGGUGGUUGAAAAAGAAAAAGAAGAGAAAAAGAAAAAA